rnacentral:lncRNA from 1 species
CUCGAGUCUACGCAGCCCAGUGGCCGAGUUGACGAUCCAAAGGCCUGACUCCACAGCGGUAAUGAGCUUUGUGUACCUUGCACUGUCUUCACUGACAACGCCCACUACUAACCACUCUGCCUCCGCCACCGUUUCAAGAUCAGGGAAGGACUCUGCCUUGCAUCGCGCACUGUGAUGGUCGCCGCCGCCGCUGCUGCUGCUGCUGCUAAGGGAGAAUGGAGUUGGUGAUUCAAAGGACGUGACUGCAGCGAUCCCGUGUGUCCUGCACCAUCAAAGGAGGACUCCGGCUUCCCACGGCGCGUUCACUGACUCUCUCCCCGUCACCCUACCAACUCCGGCCACCCACCCACCGGCCAUCUGCUACACCACCACUAUCGCCGGCUCCGUCCAGUGAAAGAUUCAUCGCAGACCUCCUGCCAUUCAACGCCUGCCGCCGCCACCACCACCACCGCCACCACCUCCUUAUGGUGGUGUCACUGUACCUGGAGCUGUCAUGAUUGAAUAAUAAAUUGUGAAGAAAU